rnacentral:rRNA from 1 species
GGUUAAGCUACUAAGAGCACACGGUGGAUGCCUAGGCGCUAGGAGCCGAUGAAGGACGUGGCGAACAACGAUAAGGCCUCGGGGAGCUGUAAGCAAGCUGUGAUCCGGGGAUGUCCGAAUGGGGAAACCUAACUGGAUUCAUCUCCAGUUACUCACACCUGAAUACAUAGGGUGUGCAGAGGCAGACGAGGGGAACUGAAACAUCUAAGUACCCUCAGGAAAAGAAAACAAGAGUGAUUCCGUCAGUAGCGGCGAGCGAACGCGGAACAGCCCAAACCAAGAAGCUUGCUUCUUGGGGUUGUGGGACGUCUCUUUGGAGUUACAAAGGAAUGAGGUAGGCGAAGAGGUCUGGAAAGGCCCGCAAGACAAGGUGAAAGCCCUGUAGCUUAAAUCUCAUUCUCUCCGAGACGGAUCCCGAGUAGUGCGGGGCACGUGAAACCCCGUAUGAAUCUGCCAGGACCAUCUGGUAAGGCUAAAUACUCCCUAGCGACCGAUAGUGAAGCAGUACCGUGAGGGAAAGGUGAAAAGGACCCCGGAAGGGGAGUGAAAUAGAACCUGAAACCGUGUGCUUACAAAAAGUCAGAGCCCUAUGAAUGGGUGAUGGCGUGCCUUUUGUAGAAUGAACCGGCGAGUUACGUUCCCGUGCAAGGUUAAGGUGAAAAGCCGGAGCCGCAGCGAAAGCGAGUCUGAAUAGGGCGACUGAGUACGUGGACGUAGACCCGAAACCAGGUGAUCUACCCCUGUCCAGGGUGAAGGUACGGUAACACGUACUGGAGGCCCGAACCCACGCACGUUGAAAAGUGCGGGGAUGAGGUGGGGGUAGCGGAGAAAUUCCAAUCGAACCUGGAGAUAGCUGGUUCUCCCCGAAAUAGCUUUAGGGCUAGCCUCGGAAGUUGAGUCGUGGAGGUAGAGCACUGAUUGGAUGCGGGGCCCGCAAGGGUUACCAAGUUCAGUCAAACUCCGAAUGCCACAGACUUUAUUCCGGGAGUCAGACAGUGAGUGCUAAGAUCCAUUGUCGAAAGGGAAACAGCCCAGACCAUCAGCUAAGGUCCCCAAGUGUGUGUUAAGUGGGAAAGGAUGUGAAGUUGCACAGACAACCAGGAUGUUGGCUUAGAAGCAGCCACCAUUGAAAGAGUGCGUAAUAGCUCACUGGUCGAGUGACUUUGCGCCGAAAAUGUAACGGGGCUAAACACACCACCGAAGCUAUGGCUUGAUACUUUGUAUCAGGGGUAGGGGAGCGUUGAAUGAAGAUUGAAGGUGUACCGCAAGGAGCGCUGGACCUCAUUCAAGUGAGAAUGCCGGUAUGAGUAACGAAAAGAUCAGUGAGAAUCUGAUCCGCCGAAAACCCAAGGAUUCCUGAGGAAGGCUCGUCCUCUCAGGGUAAGUCGGGACCUAAGGCGAGGCCGAAAGGCGUAGUCGACGGACAACAGGUUGAAAUUCCUGUACCACCGAAAGCCGUUAUGAGCAAUGGGAUGACGCAGGAGGAUAGUGACGCGGACUGAUGGAUGUCCGUUCAAGCAGUGAGGCUGAUAUGUAGGCAAAUCCGCAUAUCGCAAGGCCAGGCUGUGAUGAGGAGCGAAAAUUGUAGUAGCGAAGGUCAUGAUUUCACACUGCCAAGAAAAGUCUCUAGCCAGGAAGCAGGUGCCCGUACCGUAAACCGACACAGGUGGGUGAGAAGAGANNNNNNNNNNAAGGCCAGGCUGUGAUGAGGAGCGAAAAUUGUAGUAGCGAAGGUCAUGAUUUCACACUGCCAAGAAAAGUCUCUAGCCAGGAAGCAGGUGCCCGUACCGUAAACCGACACAGGUGGGUGAGAAGAGAAUUCUAAGGCGCGCGGAAGAACUCUCGUUAAGGAACUCGGCAAAAUGACCCCGUAACUUCGGGAGAAGGGGUGCCCCGGUAGUGUGAAUAGCACGAGGGGGCCGCAGUGAAAAGGCCCAAGCGACUGUUUAGCAAAAACACAGGUCUGUGCGAAGCCGCAAGGCGAAGUAUACGGGCUGACGCCUGCCCGGUGCUGGAAGGUUAAGGGGAGUGGUUAGCGCAAGCGAAGCUAUGAACCGAAGCCCCAGUAAACGGCGGCCGUAACUAUAACGGUCCUAAGGUAGCGAAAUUCCUUGUCAGGUAAAUUCUGACCCGCACGAAUGGCGUAACGAUUUGGGCGCUGUCUCAACGAGAGAUCCGGUGAAAUUUUAAUACCUGUGAAGAUGCAGGUUACCCGCGACAAGACGGAAAGACCCCAUGGAGCUUUACUGCAACUUGAUAUUGAACUGGGGUGCGAUUUGUACAGGAUAGGUGGGAGCCGUAGAAACCGGAGCGCAAGCUUCGGUUGAGGCGCCGUUGGGAUACCACCCUGAUCGCAUUUGAGUUCUAACCUCGUACCGUGAUCCGGUACAGGGACCGUGUCAGGUGGGCAGUUUGACUGGGGCGGUCGCCUCCUAAAGUGUAACGGAGGCGCCCUAAGGUUCCCUCAGAAUGGUUGGAAAUCAUUCGAAGAGUGUAAAGGCAUAAGGGAGCUUGACUGCGAGACAGACACGUCGAGCAGGGACGAAAGUCGGGCUUAGUGAUCCGGUGGUACCGCAUGGAAGGGCCAUCGCUCAACGGAUAAAAGCUACCCUGGGGAUAACAGGCUUAUCUCCCCCAAGAGUCCACAUCGACGGGGAGGUUUGGCACCUCGAUGUCGGCUCAUCGCAUCCUGGGGCUGAAGUAGGUCCCAAGGGUUGGGCUGUUCGCCCAUUAAAGCGGUACGCGAGCUGGGUUCAGAACGUCGUGAGACAGUUCGGUCCCUAUCUGUCGUGGGCGUAGGAAAUUUGAGAGGAGCUGUCCUUAGUACGAGAGGACCGGGAUGGACGCACCGCUGGUGUACCAGUUGUUCCGCCAGGAGCAUCGCUGGGUAGCUACGUGCGGAAGGGAUAAGCGCUGAAAGCAUCUAAGCGUGAAGCCCCCCUCAAGAUGAGAUUUCCCAGUAUGUAAGACCCCUUGUAGACGACGAGGUUGAUAGGUUGGGGGUGGAAGUGCCGCAAGGCAUGGAGCUGACCAAUACUAAUCGGUCGAGGGCUUAUCCAA